ensembl:lncRNA novel transcript (contains ZIM2-AS1 and PEG3-AS1)
GUGGCGUUUUAGCGGGAGAUCCGAGCGUCUCGGCUGGUGGAAGGGGCGAGGAGCUUUGCAGUUGUGUGCGAGUGUGUACAGGGACAGAGUCCUGAGCAAGGAAACCUAGAAGGGAGAGAGGAAUACCAUGGAAUUGAGUCCUGUCUGGUAGCACUGACAGACACAGUGGCCAGCCACCCUCAUGCCACCCUGUCCUGCCAUGGGAAGGAACAGCAGCUCUAGAGUUCCUAUGGGAACUCUCUUUCCUUCUCACUGAACUCUAGCUUCAUCAAUAACUCAGUGCCUCUGGCCAAGUUUUUAGCCUCUGGGACAACAUCCACUAUAUCCAUAUGAGGCACUCAUGUAACACGGUGAUUAAGAGUACAGAUGCUGAAGCCAGCAGCCUAAGUCUGAAUCCUGACUGCCAAUUAUUAAUAUAAGUUGUGGAACCAUGGUCAAGUUACUCAACCUCUUUAUGCCUCUGUCUCCUGGUCUACGAAAUGAAGGGUGCUCAGAAACUGUGUCAGCACUAGUUGCUCUAUCAUCUGCUCCUUGGUGAGGAUCUCUGGCUGCAGCCAUUGCAAACAGAGCUCCUGGAUUUGGCUCACAGCUUGAUGAGGCCCAUUCACUGACAGCUUUGAAUCUGCUGUUAUUAAGUUGCUGGUGCUGAAAUAACACUUAUUAUUUAUGAUCUAACUGAAAUGGGAACACUGGAAACUUCUUUGAAACUGAAGAAAAAAAUGAAAAAGAAGUUUUUACAAUCAAAACUGCCAUGAAGACUGCUUUACCCAAAAUUUUGGUCCACAGCUUUCAUUGAAUUACUUAUCAGGGCAAACAAAGUUUAGCCAUGUGAACACGUUCCAAUUUUGUUGGAAAUAAUUUGGAUCCAGCUAUCUUUAUACAAUGGUGAGUUCGUAUUGCAUCUCAUGGCUAAAAUACUGAGGUAAAGGCUUUUGGAUCUUUGUGUGUGUGUGUGUGCAUGUGACAAAAACAAGCAAUGGGGAAAGGAGUCCCUAUUUAAUAAAUGGUGUUGGGAGAACUGGCUAGCCAUAUGCAGAAAGUUGAAACUGGAGCCCCUCCUUAUACCAUAUACAAAAAUCAACUCAAGAUGAAUUAAAGACUUAAAUGUAAAAACCCAAACUAUAAAAACCCUAGAAGAAAAUCUAGGCAAUACCAUUCAGGACAUGGGCACAGGCAAAUAUUUCAUGACAAAGAUGCCAAAAGCAGUAGCAACAAAAGCAAAAAUUGACAAAUGGAAUCUAAUUAAACUAAAGAGCUUCUGUACAGCAAAGAAAUUAUCAUCAGAGUGAACAGACAGCUUACAGCAUGGGAGAAAAUUUUUGCAGUAUAUCCAUCUGACAAAGGUCUAAUAUUCAGCAUCUACAAGGAACUUAAACAAAUUUACAAGAAAAAAAAACAACGCCAUUAAAAAAUGGGCAAAGGACGUGGACAGACACUUCUCAAAAGAAGAAAUUUAUGUGGGCAAUGAACAUUUUUUUUAAAAAAGCUCAACACCACUGAUCAUUAGAGAAAUGCACAUGAAAACCACAAUGAGAUACCAUCUCACACCAGUCAGAAUGGCUAUUACUUAAAGGUCAAAAAACAACAGAUGAUAGCAAGGUUGUGAAGAAAAAUGAACACUUUUAUACGUUGGUUGGAGUAUAAAUUAGUUCUACCCUUGUCGAAGACAGUGUGGUGAUUCCUCAAAGACCUAGGGGAAGAAAUAUCAUUUGACCCAGCAAUCUCAUUACUGGGUAUAUACCCAGAGGAAUAUAAAUCAUUCUAUUAUAAAGAUACAUGUGCAUGUUCAUUGCAAAAUAGCAAAAACAUGGAAUCAACCUAAAUGCUCAUCAAUGACAGACUUGAUAAAGGAAAUAUGGUACGUAUACACCAAGGAAUACCAUGCAGCCAUAAAAAGGAACAAGAUAAUGUCUUUUGCAGGGACCUGGAUGGAACCAGAAGCCAUUAUCCUCAGCAAAUUAAUGCAGGAACAGAAAAGCAAAUACCACAUGUUCUCACUUGUAAGUGGUAGCUGAAUGAUGAGAACACAUGGACACAUGGUGGGGAACAAUACACACUGGGGCCUGUUGCAGGGUGCGGAGUGGGAGGGAGAGCAUCGGGAAGAAUAGCUAAUGCAUGCUGGGCUUAAUACCUAGGGGAUGGAAUGAUCUGUGCUGCAAACCACUAUGGCACACAUUUACCUAUGUAACAAACCUACACAUCCUGCACAUGUACCCCUGACCUUAAAAUAAAAGUUGGAAAUAAAAAAAACCCUAAACAUAUACCUACUACCUGAUCCAGUGAUUUCAUUUUUAAGUAUUUACCCAAGAGAAAUAAAAACAUAUGGCCACACAUGCAAAAGAAAUACUUGUACAUGAAUGUUCUUAGCAGCUAUAUUCAUAAUAGCCAAAAAUCUGGAAACAGCCCAGGUGUCAAUCAAUAGUAGAAUAAAUAACCAAAGUAUGCUAGGUUCAUGCGAUGGAAUACUACACUCAGCAAAAAAGGAACAAACUGCCUAUACAUGCGAUAAAAUGGAUGAAUAUAGAAAAACAUGCUGAGUGAAAGAAGAGUUACACAACGAAUGCAUGCUGUGUCAUUCCAUUCAUGCUAAUUCUACAACAAGCAAAACUAAUGUGUGGUGAAAAUAAAUUGGUGGUUGCCCCUAAGGAGACAGAGUUGGAGACUGAUUGAUGAGGAGCAAGAGGGAAUUUUGGGAUUGACAAUAUUGUUUUGUAUAUUAAUAGAGAUUUGAGUUACACAGGUGUACAUAUUUUCCAAAACUCAUUGAAUAAUAUCCUUAAGAUCUGUAUGUUUUGAUGUAUGUAAAUUUGACCUCACAAUAGAAAAAAAAGAAUCCUUAAAAAAAUGAAAGAACUAAGUACAUAUAAAUGGGAAAAAUGCUUGUAGACAGACUUUUCAUGUAAUUUAAAAUCUUAUAAUUAUCUUGAAUAAUAAAUACUCAUUAGAUGUUGGGUGUUUUCCAAUUAAAAAUGGGUUAUAAUAUGAAAAAAACAUGUUUCUAAAAAUUACAGAAUGGUUUCAGCUAUAAAAUGCUA